CUACAUCCUACAAUGUUAACUGACCUCAAAAUGGUAGUGGUGGCCAAAGAAACCCACUUGCAUCAGUGGGAGGAAGGGAACUGGUAGCAGAGGUGACAGUUCCCAAGACCCUGGCUCUGCCUCUACAAAGUGAUUGAGUUGCCACUGUUAGGCUGGUCUCCUGAUGAUGCUAACUGUAAGGGAACACGUUGUUACUCUGUUUGUGGAUCUGAUGUCCAUCUCAGGAGUCAACCAACCAAAGCAGAGUAUCCUGAGCUUUCCUUCAAAAAUAUUGCAAGGAUCAAGGUGUAGAUUUGUUCUCUCAGCUAUAGAAAGCUAA
rnacentral:lncRNA from 1 species